GACAGAGGGUGCAAACGUUGUUCGGAAUUACUGGGCGUAAAGCGCACGCAGGCGGUCUCUUAAGUUUGGAGUGACAGUUGGUGGCUUAACUGCCAAAGUGCUUCGAAAACUGAGAGACUUGAGGGCUUCAGAGGGACACGGAAUUCCGGGUGGAGUGGUGAAAUGCGUAGAGAUCCGGAGGAACACCAAAGGCGAAGGCAGUGUCCUGGGGAGUACCUGACGCUCAGGUGCGAAAGCCAGGGGAGCGAACGGG
rnacentral:rRNA from 1 species